UACGUAGGGUGCGAGCGUUAAUCGGAAUUACUGGGCGUAAAGCGCACGUAGGCGGUUAGUUAAGUUGGAUGUGAAAGCCCCGGGCUCAACCUGGGAAUUGCAUUCAAAACUGGCUAACUAGAAUACGGGAGAGGGGGGUAGAAUUCCAAGUGUAGCGGUGAAAUGCGUAGAGAUUUGGAGGAAUACCAGUGGCGAAGGCGGCCCCCUGGCCCGAUAUUGACGCUGAGGUGCGAAAGCGUGGGGAGCAAACAGG
rnacentral:rRNA from 1 species